UGCGGGGUGGAGCAGUCUGGUAGCUCGUCGGGCUCAUAACCCGAAGGUCGCGGGUUCGAAUCCCGCCCCCGCCACCA
rnacentral:tRNA from 3 species